rnacentral:rRNA from 1 species
AGUGAACGCUGGCGGUAGGCCUAACACAUGCAAGUCGAACGGCAGCACAGUAAGAGCUUGCUCUUACGGGUGGCGAGUGGCGGACGGGUGAGGAAUACAUCGGAAUCUACUUUUUCGUGGGGGAUAACGUAGGGAAACUUACGCUAAUACCGCAUACGACCUACGGGUGAAAGCAGGGGAUCUUCGGACCUUGCGCGAUUGAAUGAGCCGAUGUCGGAUUAGAUAGUUGGCGGGGUAAAGGCCCACCAAGGCGACGAUCCGUAGCUGGUCUGAGAGGAUGGUCAGCCACACUGGAACUGGGACACGGUCCAGACUCCUACGGGAGGCAGCAGUGGGGAAUAUUGGACAAUGGGCGCAAGCCUGAUCCAGCCAUACCGCGUGGGUGAAGAAGGCCUUCGGGUUGUAAAGCCCUUUUGUUGGGAAAGAAAAGCAGCAGGUUAAUACCCCGCUGUUCUGACGGUACCCAAAGAAUAAGCACCGGCUAACUUCGUG